rnacentral:rRNA from 1 species
UGGGGAAUAUUGCACAAUGGGCGAAAGCCUGAUGCAGCAACGCCGCGUGAGUGAUGAAGGCCUUCGGGUUGUAAAGCUCUGUCUUUUGGGACGAUAAUGACGGUACCAAAGGAGGAAGCCACGGCUAACUACGUGCCAGCAGCCGCGGUAAUACGUAGGUGGCAAGCGUUGUCCGGAUUUACUGGGCGUAAAGGAUGCGUAGGCGGAUUUUUUCAAGUGAGACGUGAAAUACCCGGGCUUAACUUGGGUGCUGCAUUUCAAACUGGGAAUCUAGAGUGCGGGAGAGGAGAAUGGAAUUCCUAGUGUAGCGGUGAAAAUGCGUAGAGAUUAGGAAGAACACCAGUGGCGAAGGGCGAUUCUCUGGACCGUAACUGACGCUGAGGCAUGAAAGCGUGGGGUAGCAAAACAGGAUUAGAUACCCCUGGUAGUCCACGCCGUAAACGAUGAGUACUAGGUGUAGGGAGGUAUCGACCCCCGUUCUGUGCCGCAGUUAACACAAUAAGUACUCCCGCCUGGGGAAGUACGAUCGCAAGAUUAAAAAGCUCAAAUUGAAUUGACGGGGGUCAUAGCUGUUUUUCCC